rnacentral:rRNA from 1 species
UGCAAGUCGAGCGGUAACAGAAAGUAGCUUGCUACUUUGCUGACGAGCGGCGGACGGGUGAGUAAUGCUUGGGAACAUGCCUUGAGGUGGGGGACAACAGUUGGAAACGACUGCUAAUACCGCAUAAUGUCUACGGACCAAAGGGGGCUUCAGCUCUCGCCUUUAGAUUGGCCCAAGUGGGAUUAGCUAGUUGGUGAGGUAAUGGCUCACCAAGGCAACGAUCCCUAGCUGGUUUGAGAGGAUGAUCAGCCACACUGGAACUGAGACACGGUCCAGACUCCUACGGGAGGCAGCAGUGGGGAAUAUUGCACAAUGGGCGAAAGCCUGAUGCAGCCAUGCCGCGUGUGUGAAGAAGGCCUUCGGGUUGUAAAGCACUUUCAGUCAGGAGGAAAGGGUGUGAGUUAAUACCUCAUAUCUGUGACGUUACUGACAGAAGAAGCACCGGCUAACUCCGUGCCAGCAGCCGCGGUAAUACGGAGGGUGCGAGCGUUAAUCGGAAUUACUGGGCGUAAAGCGUACGCAGGCGGUUUGUUAAGCGAGAUGUGAAAGCCCCGGGCUCAACCUGGGAACUGCAUUUCGAACUGGCAAACUAGAGUGUGAUAGAGGGUGGUAGAA